UUGGGGAUUUAGGUUUUGCAUUAGCUUCUCUCCUCCCUCUGUCGAACUGCCUCCGACGCAGAGGUGUGUCGUCGGCUUCGACAUCGACGACAACGGUGUCAUUCUACCCUCUCUCAUCCCGUUCAAAUCUUGUCCUCUCUGUUCCUAGUUUAAUCUCUUCCUCUCCCAUCUUGUUCGAAGCUCCUUCUCUCUCCUCGUGUUCGAAGUCCGUCGAAUUUCUGCCCAGUAAGCGCGAAGGGAGGUGAGGUUAUUUUUCGAGGUGAUGAGUUAUAUAUCGGAUGGAGGUUCAAAAUCGAGUCGGUGGUCAAAUUGGAAGAAAGCUGAAGCAAUUCCGAAAUAAGAUUUUCCACAAGAAUGUGAAUGUGGAGCUCCUAUAUUUUCUCUCACUAGAAAUAGAGUUCUUCGUUUCCUGAAAGAGGACAUUGAGGCAUUGGAUCGAGCUCCUUCUCACGUCCUCUCCGAAUCUUGGAUCAGCGUACACCCGUAAGAGCUUCAGAGACAGACAAUGGGGGAAUCUCGUAGAGCAGAAGCGGUAGAUUCUCUGAAGCUCGUUUCUCGGUUGGAGAUUUGUAUGUAUGUAUGUAUAUGUGUAAUUCAGGGAAAAGCUCUUGUAUGUUUAAGGUUAAAAUUACGAGUUUAUGAUAAAUAAUGGGCCGUAACGUCUAGUCUAUAGUUAACUAAUGGGCAAUAACGCAAUUGUGGGCUCAUCCACAAUCAACGAGCCUAGCCCAUGUUUUGGGCUCAGCCCACUAUUUCUUGAUAUAUCCACAUUUUGUUAUAUCUUAAGCUUUUGUUUUUUCUGUCGUUA